rnacentral:lncRNA from 1 species
UUUAGUUUCUCUUUCUGUUCCCCAAAAUGAUUUCUGGUGACGCUGUCAUGUGUUUCUGCACUUGGGGAGAAGAGUUGAAAACCAGCUCCUUCCUUCUUGCCCAUGCGUCCUCCACAUGACCGGAGCAGGGCUGCUGCCCGCUGUGCUGGGAGGCUGCAGAGGGCAGACUUUGGUGUCUCCCAAGUCCCAGACAUGUGCUUUCAGCAUGGGCUUGGCCAGGCACAUGGUGCCCCAGGGACAAGUGAAGCUUUGGCCGUCUACAGUGGAGAUGGAGCUCCAGAGGGAGCAGUGAGCGUGGGGUUCUCACUCUUGUGAGAUGCAGAGGGAAACCUGGUGUGUGGGACAUGGCAUCAACAGGAUGACAGACUCACCUCCGAAGAGAGGAGUAGGGGGAAAGAAAGAUGCGGAUGAGCUUUGUGGGUGCUUGAGGAGACCUUCUCUUUGAGCUGACUGUAUGUGAUUACACCUGCUAAUUUCCCCAGAUUUUCUCUUCUGUCUCUGACAUCCUGUCUGGUCGCUGCCCAUGAAGAGCGAUCUGUGGCAUCAUCUGGAUAAGACCUCAGUACGUCGCUGUGGGAGAACUCGAGUUUAUCAUAGUUUUAUAUUGGGUUUCCCUCAGCGUGUAACUGGAUGCAUUAAUAGUGACAUGAUCCCGGUGUGACCUGGACUUUAAUGGGUUUGAACUUGGAACUGCUCAAACAUUAAGAAAAAGCCCUCGCUCCCUGCGUGUAUUCAGCAGCUGCUUUUUAUAUGCAGAACCCUGAGCUGUGAAGGUUCAAUGACGGUGUAUUUUCAACUUUCAGAUGAAAAGGACUAAAUAACUGCCAAAAACUGAGCUAUUUCUCUCCUGAUGCAGAUGUGUGACUGCCAGGACACGCAUACAUCAAAAAGACAACGUGCCUGUGAGCAGUUGAAAACCUACUGCUUUGUUUUGUUUUGCUAGAGGCAAACAAAAUGUCAGCCCCCUCCGUCCUGGGAGAGGGCUUCUGCUGGCAGCAUGUGCUUCUCUCGGGGCAGGGUCCUGGCAACCGGGCCCUGGGGCUGGUGCCCCACCUCUGCAGCUGAGUCACUUUGUGGCAUGGGGACUGUUUGUUCUGGACAAAGCUUUCGUAGUUCAUCUUGACUUUUGUACGUUGCCAGCUGUGCAUGAUGUACCAUCCAGAACAGACUCUUUAUCGUGUGUUGAACCUUAACUGCGGCAGCAAAGCUGCGAGAUGCUUUUCCCAUCAGCGCAGGGAGCCAGGUUGGUCCCUCGGAGGGAUGUAGGUUAUCUGUCUGUUGUGUGUUCAGGCACUUUGCAAAGGUACUCAUUUCUCCUUUUGCAAAAAAGAAAGUAAAACCUCUGCAAGGCCUUAGUUUUGGGAAGCAUCUCCAGGUUUCCACUUGAGUUUCUGUUUACAAUUAUUGGCCACCUAAAACCAGCUGGGCAUAAGGGAAGGGCUGACACAAGUCUGGCUAUAGUGGGAUGUGCAGAGCCCUGCAUUGAUGAUGGGGAGGUUCACCACCAGCCAUCAGAGCCAUUGCAUGGAAUGAUGGUGGAGAGAUGGAGUAAAGAUGAUGCCUCUUUGGAGAGCUAUUGACAGAUUUACUGACCAGCAGUUCAGGCUAGAUUGCUGUUUUUUUUUGGUGUUAAGGAUUAUUAUUAUCAACUGAUUACAUUGUUAGAUUAGCACCAAACAAGUUGUGUUGUAAUAUAUUGAUGUUAUGCUAGGAAGGUGAACCUGCCUCUCCCUUCUCUGUGCUUCUGAAAGCCAGGAUAAGCCUCUGCUUUGGGGUAUCCGCUUCUGUCACAGAGUAAUAAUGGCAUGAUGGUUUGUGUGUAAUACUUCUGUUUUACUAGGGAUGUAAAUCUUUGGUGUACGGACCACUGCUUUGGUUCAGAUUUUUCUUUAAAACAUUAAUGAGCGUUUGGGUUUUGGGGAAAAAAAAAAUACAAGUAAUGAUGACAUUGUGUAAAAAUGUAGCAGCUAAUGCAUAUGUUCUGUUGGUUUGCCUUGUCUUAGAGGAACAUCAUUUUCACACAUCACUAUUAACAAUGCAAACACCCUGAAAUGCUAAUAGCACUAGUAAGCUUUUAAUUCCAUGGAAUUUAUUGCUUGCUGUAUUUCCAUGAAUUUAUAACGCUUUGAUUCUUAAGAGCCCCAUUUAAUCAGUUUUGCCUGGCACAGAACAUAAUAAACAACUUGCUGGUGCUAAAGUGCCA